CAAGGAGGAACAGCUGAUAGGAUGAAACUUUGCCGCUGUCUGGAAAUCUUUGAAAGGAUGGUGCUGGUGCUGCCCCACCCCUGCAGUCAUCUUCUGCAAAACCACCACCUGUGCCAAAAUGACUCUUAAAACAUUGUGAGGCAGCUGUGGGAAGCUCUGUUGGGUGGACAGCACAGGAAGAAAAUAUGUUAACUAUUCCUUUAAAAUGUGACCUUGGAAGUGUGAACCUGGUGAUUAGAGUGACUGCAGAACUACCAAGGAUCCUGGACCUCUGCUUAGUUUAGCCUCAAAAGCUUUUCUGAGCUCUCCACGGAGCCCAGAAGGAGCAGGCACCGAGCUGCCAUCACUGCUCUCCCCCUCUCUGCCAAGCCCCGCAGCAACAGGGCACCACUGAUGAUGAAGCAAAACAACAGAGAAGCAGCUUCCAUUGAACACAAAGCCGAUGCAAAGAUCAAAACAGAACCGAGCAAAACAACUUGAAAGAGUACAAUUCAAGGAAUCAAGCAGAUACUUUUUUUUUUUCCUACCUUGUGGUAUACAGAUGCAGAAUGAAGCCUCAAGUCACUGAAGUCAGUAUCCAACCUGACAGGAGCCAGGAUUUCACCUCUUGUGUUUUAAUUUCUGGCUUCUGUCAGAGCUCCUACAUUUCCCACGCAUUUUUUUCUCUCAUUCCACAUUACUUUCACAGCCAAGGGAACUCACUUUGCUCUUUACCACAGUUCCUGAUCUUUCCUGGGAGUAAGAUGGAUCUUCUGCACAUAAGCCCUGUUUUCAUCAGGCUUGCGACCUCCAAGAGUUAUUUUUCUGUUUAGCUUCCGAAAGCUCAUUUAGCUGUCAUGGUCUCAUCUGGGGCCAUGGCUCUUGGUCUGGCAAAAUCUAAUUUAUGCUUUAACUUGUUAAUAUUUUUUUUCAAGGCUUAUAAUUUCACCAGACUUUAGCCUUUUAUGUUCAAAUCUUCCAUGUAAUGUCUGCUAUUUUAUUAUUAUUAUUUACCUUAUUUGGAAAAAGGAUCAGAGAAGCACUGUUAAUAUUUCAUAAAUGAAGAAAUAGUGAAAAAUGUUUGUUUUGCUAACGUUAAGGGAAAAAAUGGCAUCUAUUUAACUGAGAAGUUUAAACAUCUCUAUGCCUGGGAACAGGGAAUUCUUGAAGGGGAAAAAUGACACAACCCAAAUGUGUUUAUCCUAUUCAUAUCAUUUUCUGUGUUUAAAGGAAGUGAAGUUUGUACAUAAAGUCAAUGGAAGAAUCAUUGUCCUUAAAGAUAUCAAAUACAAAGAAAAGAACUGAAUGUUUUCGGAAGCAUUUGGAAGCACCACAACAUGAAUAUUGAUGGGCAAAGAAGAGGACAUCAGGUUUUUUGAAGUGCCUGAGUGAAUCAUGAUCCUGAGCACCACUGCACCUGAAUGAUGAUUUGGGAAGUCUGCCGUAUGUCAGGCAGCACUGGGCUGUCAUCCCUGGGUGGGUAUCUGGUGGAGUCCCUCAGGCUGGAGGCUCUAUAGCUGCACUGAGAGCCUGGUUCAGUGCCAUGCUCAAGGGGUUAUCAUCUCCAGGGCCUGAGGUAGUUCACCUGAGUGGAGCUGCUCCACUAUGAAAGUGUUUAUCAAAACAGCUUCAUCUUGGCAAGGAUCCUCCAUGCCACAUCAAGCUGCUCAGUACAGACAUGCCCAUAUGAUCCUGAGACAAGUUUGUAAUGAGAUACUUAGCCACUAAAUGCAGACAAGUAGGUUAUUGGGUUAUCAAAAUCACCUAGUCAUCUGCUACCAUCUCAGUGUGAACAAGAGUCCUUUAUAGUUGGUCCUAAGGUACUUUUGAGGGACUUUUACUAUGGAAAAACAACACUGGAUGGAACAACAUGAGUUGGUGACGGUAAGGGAGGGACAACCUCUGAAAGAGUUUUAUGAGACACUUAGAGAGAAGGAAGAGGGUAGAGUGUAGAUAGAAGAGGAACAGCUACAAAGACUAUAGCAACAGUAAAAAAGUCUUAAAUUUUGGUAAGAAAAACCUGAGUCUGAGAGAAACUACUGGAAUGGUGAUGGCAAGUGAUGUCUCCCUCUCAUGGAGACUGCUUUUAUGUCUCAUGUAAUGCUAAACACAUAAAGAAGCCCUUGUGCUUCCUACUUUUAGUGGGUGGGAACACACAUCCUCAGCUCAUUUCUGAUCACAGAAUAUAAUUGAAAAGGAAUUCCUGCUCUAAUCAUACCCAAGCACAAUCAUUUUGUCAUGGUGUCCUAUAACUGCUGAGAGCAAUCUGUAUCAAUUUCUGAAAGGUAAAAAAAAUCUUUCACAUGGGAUUAAAGAAUCUGUCUUCUGAAACUUGUUUAUAGAUAUUAGGUAGAUCUUACAGGCCUUUGUGGAUCUUCUUUCAUUCAUGGAAAUGAACAGCAAUUGCUUCACUAUUGUCCCAGAAUCUGAGGCCUCUCUCUUAAUACGUAGAAAAUGUGUGUAUAUAGCAAGUUACCUGUACAGCUGGGAGAAUGAAUGGGAUUGUAUUGCUUGUUAUUCUCACUAUUAAAAGGCCUGCAGCAAAGUUACUCAAGCUUGAUGUUUUUUCACCAUAUUCAGAGAAGUUUCUCCAGCUGAGAGGUGCUUCAAAGCAGAGGAGGAUUACUCAGAAAAUAAUGCAGGUUCGCAUGGGAUAAUUUAGCCUGGAAGACAGUAGGUCUUUGUUCAGGAAUCCUUGUGGAAUGCUGGAAAGAUGGCUGUAACUUUAAGGAGCUUUCUGUGUUUCCUUUAUUUGUUUUGCUGGGGAAGAAGACCCAGAAGCAGGGAGCAAUGGGAACAAGGCUACAUCCACAGUGGAAAAGCUGUUGCUUUGGCAGUGUUUUCACCCUGGUAGUGACAGGCUUUCCCAGACUGCUUCUCAACAGCAUAGUGUGUGGGUGACCCGUAACAAUCUUUGCAGCACAUCCUCCCUUGAGGGCAUUGCCUUGACUCUGGGACACCGGGAAGAAAUCAAUGAUUUUGAAUGUGAUAACUGCAGAAAAGUGUCUGUCUUCCCCCCCCCUCCCCCCAUCUCUCCAGAAGCAAUUGCAUUAC